UUUGCAGGAAGCACUUACUGUUUAGGGUUGAGGACCUAAUUCUCAAGACAUACCAUGUUGAAAAAGCCUCUCGACAGAGAAAAUUAUCUUUCACAUGCUCCUGUUGCUGGUACACUGAGAGUGCACGUGGAAGGUGAUCACGUUGAGGGAGGUGUGGGAUACUAAGAACCCUGAGGACACGGCAGACCUACCUGUGAUCUGGGAUCAGCAAGUUGAGAAUACUAGAGUUGUUAUGAGUAAUGUUGUAGGGAGGAUGGGUAUUCAAGAUGUUAGGACAAAUUUGCCAGGAAUAACUUUUUUCCUUGCUUUCUGCUGAGGUUACAGUUUUAUGUGUGGAUGACGCUAUUCUAGGUACCACGAUGCCAACCCUUCAGGAUGGGGGACUGAGGCAUCUUAUGUAUCUCAGCAUGGGAACAGUCUUGGGGCCAGCUCCUGGCUCUGUCCCUCUUUUCAAAUCACAAGCUGUUGGCAGAUCACCCGAGACAAAGGAGGCCUGUGAAGGAGCAGGAAGAGGCCGAGUUUGCAAUGUGUCUGGCCAGAGGCUUCCAGCAGGCCAGAGGUUCCUCUGUGCCCUGGGCUGGCCUGCUGUAGGCGGGGCUUGCCAGGGAGUGCCUUGCUAGGAAGGGAGGGCAAAGGGCCAGGUCCUUCACUUGCCCCACCCUGCUGACAACAGUCCCAGUCACCAGGCUACCCUCUGUGUCCGGGCCCUUGAGGGAGUCCAGAAUUCCAAGUAGUUGGAGCACUGGGGGACACCCAGACUGAGCUCUCCCUGGACCAAGUUCUCCAGGAGCGAGAUGAGGCCAUUGCCAAGAAGCGGGCAGUGGAGGCUGAGCUGGACACAUGCAAAGCCAGGCUGCGUGCUGUGGAGGCCCAGCUGCUGGAGGUCCUGGAGGAGAAACUGAGACUGAGGCAGGAGGUGGAGGCCUGGGAGGAGGACAUGCAGCAGCUGGUGAGGCAGCAGGUGGAGAGUCAGCUGCAGAGAGAGUCCACGGGUGCUCUGGGAGCCCAUGCAGGUCUUGGAGCUGCCAGGAGCCCCUGGGCCAGAUUUCCUUUGGGUCAGGGACGUUGGUGGUGAGAGCUCAGCUCAGAACUCGGAAAGCAGUGUCUUUAUUCAUUAAAGCUUGAGGUCUGACCACCCCUGCA